rnacentral:rRNA from 1 species
UACGUAGGGAGCAAGCGUUAUCCGGAUUUAUUGGGUGUAAAGGGUGCGUAGACGGGUAUACAAGUUAGUAGUGAAAUCCCUCGGCUUAACUGAGGAACUGCUACUAAAACUAUAUAUCUUGAGUGCUGGAGGGGAAAGUGGAAUUUCUAGUGUAGCGGUGAAAUGCGUAGAUAUUAGGAAGAACACCGGUGGCGAAGGCGACUUUCUGGACAGUAACUGACGUUGAGGCACGAAAGUGUGGGGAGCAAACAGG